AAUUGCUCCCUCUCUCUCUAUCACUCUCGCUCUAUCACCCUCUCUCUAUCACUCUCACUCUCGCUCUAUCACUCUCUCUCUCUCAAUCUCUCAUAGGUCUCAACGGUUAAUUUUCCUGUUAUUUUCUAGGCAACCAAAUAGAAUCCAAUCGCUCCCUCUCUCUCGCUCUUGUUCUUUCAUAGGUCUUGGCGGUUGAUUUUCCUGUUAUUUUCUAUGCAACUAAACAGCUUCUCGACUCAAUUUUUCUAUUAUUCUCCCUCCGAUUAGGUGCAUUGGGAGUUCAGCUCAAUGGAUGGUCAAGGAGAGUUCGAAUUUCACUAUUUGUGGGAUUGAAAGCUAGAACGUUUGUGAGUUCAAAUUACAAGUGCUUGGUGGGAAGUUGGUGUAUCAGAUCACUGAGAAGAGGGCAAGUGGACCCAAGUGCCCUGUCACCGGCAAGAGAAUCCAAGGAGGCUAUCAUGCAUUGUUCUUGUUAGAUAGCUGCAGAAGCAUAUUCAAUGAGAAGAGGUCAAAAUCUACCUAUGGCUAGAGUUAGAAACAAUGGAGCUAUUACACCCCAAAAAAAAAAAAAAAAAAAACUAAAAUAUGCUGUAGUACCUCUCAUCUUGGAUGGAUAGUUGCUGAAAGAUUAGUCAAUCAACAGAUGUGAAAUGGAAAAAUUGGAAGGAGAACAGCAAAGUUUAUUGACAUUAGGUCCAAAUGGAUUUUGUAGCAAGCCUUCCCCCUGGAGUCUUUCUUAUUUUUCAGUGUUUGUGGCUUAGAUGCAAGUGGUUGGUCAGCAAGUAAUGUCCGUCCAGUUAAAUUGGACCACCUUCUACGGUUGCAGCAAUUUAUUGAUUUUUGACAAGUGCAGCUGGGUCAGUGACUUCUAGAGUAGAUUAGUUAGGACUUAGGAAGUAUAAGUUCUUUUGUACUUUUUCUACUUUGUCUCUGUUUUCUUGGUGUUGUGCAGGUCCUUAUCUUCCAUGUAAAUUAUAUCCAAGAAGUUGAGUUUUAGGUCUGAUGUCUUGAGAUUAAUGGGAAACCAGGGGAGUAUUUAUACGUUCAGUCUUUACCAACAUAUCUAAAAAAAUUGAAGAGAAAAGGUGAAUAGAGUUGUUAUUUUAUUCAUA